GACGAACGCUGGCGGCGUGCCUAAUACAUGCAAGUAGAACGCUGAAGGAGGAGCUUGCUUCUCUGGAUGAGUUGCGAACGGGUGAGUAACGCGUAGGUAACCUGCCUGGUAGCGGGGGAUAACUAUUGGAAACGAUAGCUAAUACCGCAUAAGAGUAGAUGUCGCAUGACAUUUGCUUAAAAGGUGCAAUUGCAUCACUACCAGAUGGACCUGCGUUGUAUUAGCUAGUUGGUGAGGUAACGGCUCACCAAGGCAACGAUACAUAGCCGACCUGAGAGGGGGAUCGGCCACACUGGGACUGAGACACGGCCCAGACUCCUACGGGAGGCAGCAGUAGGGAAUCUUCGGCAAUGGACGGAAGUCUGACCGAGCAACGCCGCGGGAGUGAAGAAGGUUUUCGGAUCGUAAAGCUCGGUUGUAAGAGAAGAACGAGUGUGAGAGUGGAAAGUUCACACUGUGACGGUAUCUUACCAGAAAGGGACGGCUAACUACGUG
rnacentral:rRNA from 1 species